rnacentral:lncRNA from 1 species
GGGAGAGAGAGAGAGGGAGAGAGAGAGAGAGAGGGAGAGAGGAGGCGGCGAGAGAAGAGCAAGUGCGGAGCCGCGGGGCUGCUCCGGAGCCGGCAGAGCCUCCUCGGACAGCAUACCCCGGCCCUGGCCCCAGCUGCUCGCGUGGUCAGAGGAAACGCGGCGGUGGCCGCCGGAGCUCGGUCCCGCGCGCCCCUCGCCGCCGGCUUACCGGUGCCCACGCAGCCCCGGGACGCCGCUACCCUCUCGGCGGCCGGGAUGCAGCCGGGGCAUGGCCGCCGGGCCCCUGUCACCUGCCACGGGGAGCGCUGAGCCCAUUGGAAACCUGUCUCUGAGGCCCUGAAGCUUUUCCUAGUCUUCCCUGGCAACUCUCCAUCCCAAGGAAGUUCCAGAAAGAACCCCAGGGGGGCCUCCCUCCUACGGCAAAGCAGACCUCCCCUUCCACUUCCAGGUAAGGCGGCUGCCCGCGCUCCCGUCCUUCCUCAGAGUUGGCGUUUGUGAUGGAAAAACAUCUUUGCGCGUCAAUUUUCUUUUGCACGAGGGAACUGCAGGGACGUUCUGCUGGCUCUAGUUUGCAGAUUGAGGUGUCUGUUGUGACUUCAGGGAGUAGGACUGGGAGAAUCCACAGAUCCCCAGAAAUCACCUUGAGCAGGAUUUCGUAAGGCGUGGCCGCUGAAAUCCCUCAGUCUGGCCACCGAGCUUUUAUCCCCGGAAGGAGCGUGGUCAGGGUGCACAUAGCAUCCACUGUCUGGUGUCAGCAUGAGAUACCAUAGCGGCCAAGGCUGGGGGCUGACCCACCCAUACUGGAUCUGUGUCCUACAGCCCACAUCGCUCUGUAGCCCAGUAAUGGGCUCUGAUGCCUUCAUCUGGCUCUAGAGGGAACCUGCUGAUUGCCCCGUUCCUAUCUCUAGGGGCUAGAGUGUACUUCAACCCAGCCACUAGCUGCCUGGAGUUACCAGCAGACCCCACAGGCUUCUGGCCCAUCCCCCACAAGACUACCCUGUUUCAGAUGCCAGCUGCCAGUCUCGUGGCCAGUGGCAUUUCCGACCAACGGGCUACAAAUUCAAGGAUUCCCGCACCCCCCUCAGCUUCACCGUUUUGCUAGAACACCUUACAAAACUUAAGAAAGUGCUACGCUUACAAUUUGCAGUUUGAUUAUAAAGGAUGCACAUAGGUGAGCUUGGAGAGGGUCCCGGAUGGACUUGGAGCUUGAUGCCCUCCCCCGUAUAGAGUUAGAGCCCUCUCAGCCCAUCCACGUGUUCAUCGGCCACCCAGCUCCCAAGCUUUGGGUGUGUGUCCAGAGUUUUACUGGGGUCUUAUGACACCACUGGCCACAUGAUUGAACUCAGUCUCCAGCAAGUCUUCCCUCCCCUGAGGUAGGAAGUGAAAAUUCCAAACCUCCACUCAGUACCCUUUCCCUGAAACUCUCUGAGGGUCCUCCCUGCGCUGCGUGGUGAGCAUGGAGUCAGUGGGAUGAGCUCCCGAGGGACUUGGUGGGAAGAACACUCUCAGCCUUUAGAAAUUCCAGAGGUUUUAGAGGUUACCUCCGGAAACCAGGCACAGAAACCAGACAAGUUCUUUAUUAUACCACCUUGGAGCUCGUGCAGCCCUGCUCUCUGCUGAGAAACCACACAGAACUGGUGGGUCCGUGUCGUCCAGGGCAGGAAAGACCAGAGCCCCCACACCCUACAGUCAGAACGAUGCCAACAAGAAUCCUGGGCAAAGAGACCAGGACACAGGUCGGUCUCUCCAAGACUCCUUGACAGAUGCCCAUUUUAGAAUCCAUGGCAUUGGAUUCCACACACGACACGGGUGUAGCUCCAGGAGGGCACCGCCUCUAAUCUUCGCAUGGUGGAAAUCAGUCCUCUCCCCUACUCAGGGCCUGUGGGGGCCUCUUCUGCAGUGGGCUGAGGGGGCCGCUGACGGGUCUGCGUUCAGUCAUCCCGCCAUUCCUGAGCCCUCCAGGGGCUGAGCUGGAGAUGCAGCGGUGAUGCACCAAGUCCUUGCCCACGCUUGUCUUCUACGGGUAGGGCGACAAGGGUGUAUUUGAGCAAAUCAGGCAGCGAUAAGGCCAUGAAGAAAAUGGGGAGAGGAGGUAAUCGAGAAGGCUGCCGUUCCCCCGGGAGGCCUGGGCAGGCCCUGGGCGCCGACGGGAGCAGAGACUGAAGGAGGCGGCUGGCAGGCCCUGAGGACGGGCAGAGGAGCCGUGCGUGCGGAGGCCCCAAGGCCGCGAUGCACAGGCACGUUGGAGAAGCGGCGCAGAGCUUGGUCUUCCGGGGUGGGGUGGGGGGGUGAGCAGGUGUGGAAGGAGGUGACAGCUACAGUCAGAAGCAUUUUGGACCCUGGUUAAAGAUUCUGGGUUUUGUCUGAAGGAUGGAGGGAGCUACUAAAGGGCGCUGAGCUAGGGACUGAAUGACCCAGUUUGAGUCGUAUGAAGUUGCUUUCUGGGUGGAGAAUAGAUGGAGCAGGGAGGUCAGCGUAGAAGCAGGGGCUGUGCCAGCAGGCCGCGGCUUGUCCCAGGGAGGGGUGGCUGUGCCUCGGACCCAGGAUGAGAAAGGUGGUGGAUCUGGGGAUGCGUUGGAGCUGAGUACUUAAACAGCCUCUCUUCUACCCUGAAAUCCUGCUGUCAUCCCAUCCUCUAAACCACCGGGCACCCUGGCGAGCCUGGAAAGGAAGACCAUACACCCCAGACCGCACUGGGACAGAGGAGCAAGGCCCCGGGACCGUUCAGAAGGUCUCAAUCCCCUGGGACCUUCUGAAGCCUCCCCUUCAGGGCUCCCCCAGCAUUACCAUAAAACCAGUGCCAGGGCACUGUCCUCAGCCUCCCCUUUUCACCACAGGCACCAAGACACCAGCCUUGCCAGCUCCCUGAUGCUCUCGCUUGACGUGAGGUUUGGGUGUGGUCUCAGUGCAGGCCAGGUGACCCCUAGGGGCUUGCACUGGGCUUCUGGUCCUAAGUAAGUGCACCUGGCUCUGCCCGUGGAGAAAGGGCAUCAGAGUGCCCACCCCCUGUGUGCUAGGGACUGUCGGUCAUCUCCGUGACCCCGUGGAAGAUGCUUCUCCUGGUUGCUUUCUUGAAGGGGAUUUCAGGGCCCAGCUUCACCUUCCUUAGGUCUGAGAGUCAGCUUUCUCCUAAAAUGGUAAAUCCUUAGUGUUAGAAGCCAAAGGCAUCAGAUAGGCCAGGCCCGAUGGUGGGUCUGGGAACUCAGGGCUCAGGGGGGUUGCUAUGCUGGCUCUUCCCUGCCCCCCAGAGCUGCUUCGGGGAGCACAUGCCUUUUCUGGUCCCUCAUGGCUUCCAAGCCUGUGCUCAAAGUUGUGAAACGGACUGUGCAUCAAGGGCCUUCUCCCUUCUAGUGGGGCGAAGUCUGGAGGAGAGAAGCAUCAAAGCGAAAACCCUCAUGUCCCAUUUGCCCAGGGCAGCAUGAAGCCUGCAGAGGGAGCCUGGCUCUGUGUAUUGCCUUCUGAUCACCUUUAGGCGAGGGGUGGGUCUCUGAAGGGAGAAGGCCACCCACAGUGAUCAGCAGUCAGGUGUGCUGGCCACGGACUCCCUGCAGACACCCUCUCACCCUGCAGUGGUGCCCCGCUCUUUUGAUGGGAUCCAGAUGUGGGCUUUGGAGGGGGCUGCCAAACCCACCCCUGGGCUCCAGCGUGCAUGGAGGGGUGAGGUCUGGAAAGAAAAUGAGAGGGGAGAGGUCGGGGCAGCAGGCAGCCCAGCUGGCUUCCCUUCAUCCAUGGAUGAAUCAUGAGCAGUGGGAGCAGGCCCUUGGGAAAAAGCCGACCUGGGGGGUGAAGGCUUGGGGGGUGAUGAUGCAGGGGAGAGGAGCCCACACGGGCUUACGGAGCCUCUGCACUGUGCGUCUUCCACGCCCUCUCGCAGUGGGAGGUCGUCUGGAGAAAGUGCUCUCUAGGUGCUCCAGGAUCAGUGAUGGGGAAACUUCAGGGAGGAGCCUGCAGGAGCUUCUGCUCUGGCGCGCCGGGCUGUUCCACUCCCUGUGGAGUGCGGCCCGCACAGCGUCGCGCCCCAUCCCUGCAGAUGUGUCCUCGAUGAGGCCUGGGGCUCAGAGGAGGGAAUGGAAGGAAGCUGGCUCCAUCUCUUUGCCUUGGAAAGGGCCCCACAUAUUAUAUCCCAUUCCGAGGCUCAUCCUUUAAAUAUGGAUUUGAUCUGGAUUGUACUGUAUAGUAAAUUCUGAGUCCUUAGUAAAAACAUGGGUGGAAAUUAAUCUGUAAAAUGAGACUUGUCUCUUACAUGUAGUGGCAGAGGCCAGGGGCAGACGGGUGCUCCAGGUCAAUGGUGAGGGGACCUGCCUCUAGCAUCUGGACCAGAAACUCACUGCGAACAACACCCGCUCUUCUGUCCCCCACCCUCCCCUUCCUCUCUGCCCUCCCUGUCACCACCCUGACUGGACGUUCUGACUCCUCCCAAACCAUGGUUCGGUACCUUGGGGUCACUCAGAUAAAGCAGAGGGCACAGCUGGCUGUUCCUUCUCCAGAUGUUUUUUCGGGGUCAGGGAGCACUUUCGCUCUGGAGCAGAGAGAUGAACAAAGUCUCUGGCCCUGACCUCUGGCCCCUCAGAGGGAACUCCUAAAACCCGCAGGGGAAGGGGGAAAGUCCACCCUACGGCUGACUCUUCUGGCCCAAGAAGAAUGGCUCUGGGCUGGACCAGUGGCAUUUUUUCAAGUACAGGGGACAGCAUGUUACCGAGCAGAGGCUGCCAUACUUGUGUUGGCUCAGGCUUGAGUGUGUCAUGGCUGGCAGCUGGCACACUUCCAGCUGUUGUCCCCCCUCCCCCACAACAUUAGAACUGGUCUGUCUACCCGGGCUCCUGCCCUCCAGGAUGGACCCCUGAGCGGCCACAUGCGACUUCCCAUAAAUCAUUCCCGAAUGAGCGUGCUUCCUGCCUCAUCCAUCAUGCCUGUCUCUUGUCUGCUUGUUUUUAAAAGCUGUUAAACUGGAAUCCAUCACAUGGCACCCUCGGGGGGCCAAGCCGCAGCAAAGGCUGCCCGCAUCAGCAAUAUUAAUGCACACAGAGCUUUCUAGAGCAUCGAGGUAAACGUCUCCCCAGUGGUGGGGAGAGGGAGAGCGGGACUUUAUCUAGUUAUACCAGAAGCUAAUGGGAUGUUUCUCUGACACUUGCAGUUAAUACAUUGCCGCCACGCAUGAGGAAGUCCUGGUGGCUGCUGGGUGGACCAGGUAAUGCCCACCUCAACAGUGAGGCUGGGGUUUCUCCCUUCUCACAGAGCAUCUUAUUUGCUUCUCAUGCCUGAUAUUUUAAUUUGAAGACUAGUUUGAGCCAGAUUUUGGAAAGAUGGGUCCUUCUAGAAACACCUGUGUUUGCUCUUCUGUUACCACAUGUAUUCGGAAACGAAGAUUUGGUGCUGAGAGCAGCUUCACUCCCUCCUUCUGAACAUUUACCACCAGUGCAAGUUCUGGGAUGUGUCCAUGAGGAAGGGGAACGAGCCUGAACCCCUCCUGUUAUACUCAUAUUCUCUCUCCCCCUCCUCCUUCUCCUUUCCUCUGAUUGUGUGAGGAAGGCCUGGACCCUGUUUCUCUGUGGCUGGAAUCUUCCAGGCUCUUUAACAUUCACCUAAUUGACUGGUGCCGGAUUUGCCUCCAAGAACCCUCCUGUCUGUCCCAGACAGAUGUCACAAACCUCAGUGGCAGUAGUGAUAUUUUGUCCCAUCUGCUUUUGGCUUCUCUGCUAUCCUUUUCUUUGCCUCAUAUUUGUUGGUUGAAGGAUAAAACUGCUUGUUGGCACUGGUGUGACAUUUAAAAAAAAGAAAUAGGAGAAUGGGCCAGGAUUUUUUGUUGGUGACCUGUGAGCUCGGGAAUGAGCAGCCCAGGAGGCUGGGCUGGUGGCAGAGGGCGCUGUCAGCACCCCCACCCCUCCACACUGGAGCUGUCCAAUUAGAGCCCAUUAGUCACUCAGUGUGUUAAAGCAUUAAGAACAAUUAAGGGUGAGAAGAGUUUCCAGAUGUAGCUUCGGCUCUGGGGUUGGAAGGGGCUGGCUGUUCCCCAGAUGGAAGGAGUCUGAGAAGAGUGGCAGGAAUCAGCGUCCGUCUCAUCAGAGCUCAGGGCUUUGAGAGGGGGAACCCGUGGGGGUGGAGGUGGGGCUCCAGAUUCAGAUGCUCGGUGGGAGGGUCCUGGGGCUGCUGCAACAAAGGAUCACAGAAGCGGGGCUUGAAACAACAGACACUUAUUCUCUCAGCUGUGGGGGCUAGACUCUGCAAUCAGGGUGCCAGCAAGGCCCCGUUCUCUCUCUGGAUUGUGUGGUCGCUGGCAGGCCUUGGCCUUCCUUGGCAGCUGGACAUAUCAUUCUAGAAUCUGCUUCUACCACCACAUGUCUUCUCCCCUCUGUGCCUGUCUGUCCCCUGGUCUUCACACGGCAUGUCACAUGUGUCUGUAUGUGUCCAAGUUUCCCUCGCCUUGUAAAGACGCUGGUUGUGGAGUUCUCGCUGUGGCACAGUGGAUUAAGGAUCCAGCUUUGCUGAAGCUGUGGCAUAGGUAGCAGCCACAGCUCAGAUUCAGUCCCUGGCCCAGGAAUUUCUAUGCGCUGUGGGUGUGGUCAAAAAAAAAAAAAAAAAAAAAAA